AAGUGGCAGAUGGAAUAUAGUGUAGCAAAGUGUGGAGUUGUGCAUUCUGGUAGUAGGAAUAAAGGUGUAGACUGCUUUUCUAAAUAGGGUGAAAAUCCAGGAAUCUGAGAG